UACAGAGGUCUCAAGCGUUGUUCGGAUUCAUUGGGCGUAAAGGGCGCGUAGGCGGGUCGUCAAGUCAGGGGUGAAAUACUCCGGCCUAACCGGAGAACGGCCCCUGAUACUGGCGACCUCGAGGGGUGUAGGGGCAUGUGGAACUUCCGGUGGAGCGGUGAAAUGCGUAGAUAUCGGAAGGAACGCCGGUGGCGAAAGCGACGUGCUGGACACCUUCUGACGCUGAGGCGCGAAAGCCAGGGGAGCAAACGGG
rnacentral:rRNA from 1 species